rnacentral:tRNA from 3 species
GGGGAUAUAGCUCAGUUGGUAGAGCUCCGCUCUUGCA